GAGGUAACGGGUCUAACAAUAGAAACAGCUCCUAUUCUUUGAACACUUGCUCUGUGCCACAUCACUGGCGCUAGAUCAGUUCACAGAUGCCGUUAAGUUUCAUCCUCGCAAAAGCCGGAGGAGUUACGUGCUGUUAUUCCCAUUUUGCAGGUGAGGAAAUUUGGGCUGUCAGUGCUCUGGCCCCCAGUGAAGAUGUGUCAGUGUUGGCAUUUGAUCCCUGGUCUUUCUGGUGUCAGAGCCUCUUCACUAUGUAUGCUACACUGGCUGAAAAUAUAAAUAAUAGUUGAUGACUGCAGACCAGGAAAGAUCAACAGAAGAAGACAUUCAUCUCCAAGGUCAGAGGGAUUAAACUAGAAGCUGGAAGGCUUUAUCCAUUCCGGUGUGGCAGUGCCUCUCCUUUUAAUGACUUCCCCCUUGCAGGCGGAAUUCUCCGGAAGAAUGCUGUUGACAGCCUUCAAUGCAUCAUAAAUAACAUCCCAGGUGCUCCAAGACCAGCUUCAGUCACACUCCUCUAGAGAGCUUUGCAAAAGCCUUCAGUGUUAACCCCCUUUCUACCGGCGCUCCUUCCCAUUCCCUGCCCCUCCCUCAUUUUGAGCUCACUCUCAUUUGCCCAUAUUUGAUGAUUGCUUUGAAGUGCUCUUAAAUAUUUUUGGUAAGCAAUUUUUUGCUCAGAUGAGUGUCACCUCCACAGAGCCAGGAUCUAUUGCUUCUGGGUAGUUAGUAUCUAACAAUUCUGCAAACAUUUUUUUUUUCUUUGUUUUUCAGUGGGAUAGAGAGAUCACUUAAACUGCAGGUUCCUGAAAGGCUGGGUUGUAUGGGUUUUGUUUGCUUGUUUGUCUCCUCCUUGGUCCCGGGCUGAACAAGGCUCAGCACAGGUGCUCAUAGAAGUUUGAUGAGCUAAACCAAAUAUGGAGGCAAUUGUCUUAAUCUCUGUGUUGAGGGAAUCUAGAUUAAUAUAUCUAUAAAUGACCCUCACAUAAGUUACAUUUUAGUGAAGAAAGGCAAGUGUGGAGAUCAAUUAAUAUAAGUUUACACAUUGGGUGCCUGGGUGGCUCAGCUAUUUGAGCCCCUCGUUGGGCUCUGUGCUCACAGUGUGGAGCUUGCUUGGGGUGCUCUAUCUCGUCUCUCUCUGCCCCUUCCCCACUCUCACCCACAAGACCUCAUCUCUCUGUCUCUCAAAAUAAACAAUAGAUAAACAUUAAAAAAGAGAUAAAUUUACAUAUAACAUAGUGCAGAACAAGAUAAAGUAUCGUAAGAGGGAUAACAAAUACCAGGGUACUUCAGAGAUUGGAGAGACCUUCUCCACUUAUCUAAAUGAGGGUAUGAGAGAGCUUUAGUUGGUCACCAAACUAAUCACAACUCUUACGCCUGGCACUGGGGAGGUGCCGGGUUGUUGUUCUUGAUAGUGGUGAUGGAUGUAAGGCAUGGAGAAAUCUCUUACUUUAUACUCUCCUGGCAUAAAGAAAUAUUUUUAUAAUAAAUUCAUUCUUCUUGCAAUUGUAAUGAAAAAGAAAGGACUUCUUGAUGAAGGCAGCAUGGGACUGAGUUUGGAAAACUCUAUGGAUGGGCUGAGGGGUGGGAAAAGAAUUCCAGGCUGAGGAGACACAUCACAAGGAAAACCACAGAGGCAGGCACACAUUGAAAAGAUUCAGGGAGCCAGUCUAAGAAGGCUUGGCUCGAGUGCUGGACCUGGGCAGGGACAUAGUGGUAGACAAGGCCAGAAAGGAAAGUUAGGGCCAUGAUGUGAGGGUCAAAGACGCCAGCACUGAAAUCAUCUGGCCAUGAAAGCUCUGGAGCCUUCUGAGCUGAGUAAGGCAAGAUCAUGCCCAAGUUUUAGAGGAGUCAUCCUGGAUCUUGCUCAGGACUUGGAUGUGUGCUAAAGGAAUCCUUCAUGACCCUAACAGCCCUGUCAAGGGCUGACAUCUGCUGCAUAUGCCAGCCCAUCCAGUCCUACAGCCCCAAACAGUGUGACAGCUGGUGGGUCUUCCAAGAGCUAUUACCAGAAGAGAAGGGAGAUGAUAGGCAUCUUCAGACCAUCCCUAAAAUCACCCAUAGCUUCUCCUCUCCUUUGCUCAUCAUGGGAAGUCAAGGUGGACAGUUCCAGAGGUUAUUCUUUACUUCAAUAAAAUAAAGCUUUCUUAAAUAUUUAUAUUCUUGCCCUUCUCCUCCCUAUUCCUUUCCUUUCUAUUUAUGUCUCACAUAUAAACACAUACACACACGCUCGACAUAUUCAUUCACUCACUCUUCCCCCUAUUACCUUGGUUCUAUUGGGAGCAAUGAGGACAAAAACUCAACUAAUUCCUAUGAAAUAUCCAUCUACUGCUUUAGUCAA